AAUAAGUGCAGCCGUAGAUAUCCGUACCCAACGUUUAACCGUCCGUUUUAUUUAAAAAAUUUGUAAAAAAAUUAAAAGUAUUUAGUCACACAUAAACUACUGUUCAUGUUUUAUCAUCUAAUAGUAAUAAAAAUACUAGAUAUAAAAAUUUUUUAAAUAAAAUGAAUGGUCAAACGUUGAACGUUAAUAGUGCAAAACUGCACUUUUU
rfam:Oryza sativa Japonica Group DNA, chromosome 7, cultivar: Nipponbare, complete sequence.